rnacentral:rRNA from 1 species
AUGAACGCUAGCGACAGGCUAACACAUGCAAGUCGAGGGGUAACAGGGUAGCAAUACCGCUGACGACCGGCGCACGGGUGAGUAACGCGUAUGCAACCUGCCUAGUAACUGGGGGAAUAGCUCCCUGAAAGGGGGAAUUAACACCGCAUAAUACUAUUGAUUCGCAUGGAUUGGUAGUUAAAUGUAGCGAUACAGGUUAUAGAUGGGCAUGCGUGACAUUAGCUAGUUGGUGAGGUAACGGCUCACCAAGGCUACGAUGUCUAGGGGUUCUGAGAGGAAGGUCCCCCGCACUGGUACUGAGACACGGACCAGACUCCUACGGGAGGCAGCAGUGAGGAAUAUUGGUCAAUGGGCGCAAGCCUGAACCAGCCAUGUCGCGUGCAGGAAGACUGCCCCCUAUGGGUUGUAAACUGCUUUUAUAGUAGAAGAAACACAUCUACGUGUAGAUGUCUGCCAGUAUACUAUGAAUAAGCAUCGGCUAACUCCGUGCCAGCAGCUGC